UACGUAGGGGGCUAGCGUUGUCCGGAAUCAUUGGGCGUAAAGCGCGCGUAGGCGGCCAGAUAAGUCCGGUGUGAAAGUCACAGGCUCAACCUGUGAAUGCCGCUGGAAACUGUCUGGCUUGAGUCCGGAAGGGGCGAGUGGAAUUCCUGGUGUAGCGGUGAAAUGCGCAGAUAUCAGGAGGAACACCGGUGGCGAAGGCGGAUCUCUGGGCCGGCAUUGACGCUGAGGAGCGAAAGCCAGGGGAGCAAACGGG
rnacentral:rRNA from 1 species